rnacentral:lncRNA from 1 species
CUCCUCCAAUCUUACCACGAGGCAGCAAAACCUCUUAAAAUGUCAUCGUGUCUUAGCCAGAGGGACCUGAAGACGUUGCCGCUGGCUGAUUAUGAAUGUGGCUCAACUGGAAAGUGAGGGUCUCGGUUUCCAAGCUGCUUAUAGAAGGUAGUUUUUCUCUUCAGGGCGUUUUCUGUUUCAUGUGUUCGUAACGUGAACCAAAGUGAAACACGAGAGCAGCGACUCGGGGGUUCCUGAAUGAGCCCGAGUUUCCCAUCAGGCCGGGGCACGGGCUCGCCAGCGCCGUGCCGCAGGGCGGGCAUCCCUUCUCCAGCAGCUCCUGUUCUGUGACAAGAAGGGGCCGUUGUUCCAGGCCUGUCACUUCCAGGCCUUUGCAUUAACCGUGAAUUCACUUUAUUUUGUGUUUGUAAAAGCUGAUGUAUUUCCCCCCAGUGAACACAACCGCAGCCGUCCGCGGCCAUGGUGGAGUUUCCCUGUGGGAACAGCCCUUCCCCAAGGGCCUGCGUGGACCGCGCAUCAUUGGGUAAGGCUGCCCUCUGUCCGCUGCGGCGCAGGGAAGAGCUUGACGCCCUCCUCCCCCAGCUCUGGGUCCGCUCUCCCAGAGGACGUCAGAGUGACCACCGGGAAAGAAGACAGAGCAGGGUUGCCUAAGGCCCCGCUUUGUGACCUCUGCCCUGAAGCCGAGGCCAGAGACCCUCUGUCCUGCCACCAACGGUCUAGAAGUACUUCGGGUGCCUGUGCCCGACUGUGCCCACGUGCCCCCACCCCAUCCAGGGAUGGGUGACGCUGGAGGCCCUCCCACCAGUGCCUGUCAUGCUGUCCUCCUCAGACGCUGGUCCCUGCCGGCUGUCAGCAGCGAGCUCUUGGUCCCCUGGGGGACCUGGGACCUGCCCUGAGAGUUGGCCACGUGGUCUGGGUGAGCCCGGACACCUUUCCCAGACCCACCCGCAGACAGGUGUUCCAUGCCCCAGCCCGUGCCCUGUGCGCGCCUUACCUGCCCCGCCGUGUGGCCCCCAUGCUGCAGCCGCACCCCGGGCCGAGCGUGUGCCGGGGACCCCGCAAAGGCUGUGGCAUCACGGCUUCAGUGUUCCCUGCGGAUGCUGAGUUCGGAGCCCGUCCGGGAGCUUCACUGAAGGAAACUCGAGGAGGAACGGCCACCACCCUGGAAGUUCGCGCAGAGCCGAGCCCGCCCACAGUGCUGCUGGGUGGGCCUCCGUGUAUGAAUGCCGUGUCCCAGGCGAGAAUACCUA